GAUGAACGCUAGCAGAACGCCUAACACAUGCAAGUCGAACGAAUAUUAGUCUUCGGACUAAUGUUAGUGGCAAACGGGCGCGUAACACGUAUCUAACCUACCCUUGAGUGAGGCACAACUAUGGAGACAUAGCUAAUUCCUCAUACGCUCAUCAGAAUGAAAAUAUGAUGAGGAAAGAUUUAUCGCUCAAGGAGGGGGGUGCGGCCUAUCAGGUAGUUGGUGAGGUAAUGGCUCACCAAGCCUAUGACGGGUAGCCGGUCUGAGAGGAUGUCCGGCCGCAAUGGAACUGAGAACGGUCCAUACUCCUACGGGAGGCAGCAGUGGGGAAUAUUGGACAAUGGGCGAAAGCCUGAUCCAGCGAUUCUGCGUGAAGGAUGAAGCCUUAUGGGGUGUAAACUUCUUUUCUGGGGGAAGACGAAUGACGGUACCUCAGGAAUAAGAGACGGCUAACUACGUGCCAGCAGCCGCGGUAAAGUCUGUACU
rnacentral:rRNA from 1 species